AGUGAACGCUGGCGGUAGGCCUAACACAUGCCAGUCGAACGGCAGCACAGUAAGAGCUUGCUCUUACGGGUGGCGAGUGGCGGACGGGUGAGGAAUACAUCGGGAUCUACUUUUUCGUGGGGGAUAACGUAGGGAAACUUACGCUAAUACCGCAUACGACCUACGGGUGAAAGCAGGGGAUCUUCGGACCUUGCGCGAUUGAAUGAGCCGAUGUCGGAUUAGCUAGUUGGCGGGGUAAAGGCCCACCAAGGCGACGAUCCGUAGCUUGUCUGAGAGGAUGAUCAGCCACACUGGAAGUGAACCACGGUCCAGACUCCUACGGGAGGCAGCAGUGGGGAAUAUUGGACAAUGGGCGCAAGCCUGAUCCAGCCCUACCGCGUGGGUGGAGAAGGCCUUCGGGUUGUAAAGCCCUUUUGUUGGGAAAGAAAAGCAGCAGGUUAAUACCCCGCUGUUCUGACGGUACCCAAGGAAUAAGCACCGGCUAACUUCGUG
rnacentral:rRNA from 1 species